GACGAACGCUGGCGGCGUGCCUAAUACAUGCAAGUAGAACGCUGAAGAGAGGAGCUUGCUCUUCUUGGAUGAGUUGCGAACGGGUGAGUAACGCGUAGGUAACCUGCCUGGUAGCGGGGGAUAACUAUUGGAAACGAUAGCUAAUACCGCAUAAAAUGGAUUAUCGCAUGAUAAUCGAUUGAAAGGUGCAAAUGCAUCACUACCAGAUGGACCCGCGUUGUAUUAGCUAGUUGGUGGGGUAACGGCUCACCAAGGCAACGAUACAUAGCCGACCUGAGAGGGUGAUCGGCCACACUGGGACUGAGACACGGCCCAGACUCCUACGGGAGGCAGCAGUAGGGAAUCUUCGGCAAUGGGGGGAACCCUGACCGAGCAACGCCGCGUGAGUGAAGAAGGUUUUCGGAUCGUAAAGCUCUGUUGUAAGAGAAGAACGAGUGUGAGAGUGGAAAGUUCACACUGUGCCGGUAUCUACCAGAAAGGC
rnacentral:rRNA from 1 species